rnacentral:lncRNA from 1 species
CCUCUCCAUCUGCUGGUGAACAGACAUGCACACACACUUUAACCUUCUUCCCUUCUCACCAAACCAAUCGCAGGCUCUAAGCAGACCUCUGCCAGCUGGCAGAUUGCUCCCUCACUGAGGUGGGCUCCUGGGGUUGGGCCUGGGCUCGAAGCCACUCACACUCAAGUGCUGGGGCGAGGCGCUGAGAGCAGGAGCCCGAGCCGAAACUCAAGGUGCGUGUGAAUGUUUGCGAUGGUGACCAGGAGGGGAGCUGCAGGGAGGGCAUCCCCAGCAGAAGGCGAGCAAACAAGGGGCGAGAAGCAAGGUCAGGGGCCAGGGAAUGGAGUCUCCGAAGCAAGCGGUCCGCUGCCCCUUCUUCUCCGCAGUUCACUCCCCGCCCCCUUCUCCCGGGUUCACUUUGGAAAUUGGCUUGCCCUCUCGGCAGCCAGCAGUUCCCGGCAGAGUCCGGCCGGAACGGUCAGGUUCAAGAAUAGUGACCCGAGCCAGGAACUGCGCCUUUAAGCCGCUUUCCCAUUCGGGGAAAGAGACGCCAGCACUCGAGGGUCUGGAGGCGCCGGAGAGGCCCCUCAUUCUGUACUCCCCUCUUUCCUCCCCCUCCUCCUUCCCCCGCCCCCUCUCCCCUCCCCUCCUCGGCCGUCCGGCCGCCUCUCCGCCAUCCGUCACCUCGCAGCCUGCCGCACUCCUGGAGCGAGAGAGCGACGAGCGAGCCACGGCGAUGGUGCCGCCCGCGGCGCAGCCAUGAAGCCCGCCCGAGGAGCCCGCGCGCGCUGCUGCCAUCCUGCCCGCAGCCCGCCGCCUGCGCGCCAGCUCCCCGCGUCCCGGGCCAGCUGCUGCCACCUUGCCAACCUCUGCCCGCCCCGCCGCCCCGGGCCACUGAGCCCCAAGCCCAUGUCGUGCUCGGGGGCACGGGCGCCCUAGUCCCGCUGCCGCCGCCGCCACCGCUGCGCCGCCGCUGCCGUGCCGCUGAGGAGGAGGAGGAGGAAGAGGAAGAAGAAGAAGAGGAGGGGGAGGAAGGUAAGAGGCGCGCUGUCUUCAGGGGGGCGCGCCCGCAGUCUCAGCCAGACCCGGGUGGGUCACGGCGGGAGCGUUCCGCCCCAGACCGGCUGGGGGGCGACUGGCGCUUGGGCGCCCCCGGGAGCCGGGGGCAGGGCGGGGGGCGCCCGGCGUCUGGCCGCCCAGAGUUUGGGCGGGCGGGGUAGCCGCCCGCUACGUGCCCACUGCCCCAGCGAGUCGCCGGCUUGGCGGGCUCCUUUGGCCGCCGCGGGUGCGGGGUGAGGAGUCGAGCGCAGGGGAGUGCAGCGCGUUCAUUAUGGAGCCUUUGUGUGUGCGCCGGGGCUGUGGGCACAGUUGGGAGAGCUGGCGAGACGCGGGGCCUGGCUGCUGGGAGGUGGCCACUUCGCCGGGGCGCCCGGCGAAGCCGGAGUCCAAGGGCUGCCACAAACAGCUGUCUGAAGCAUGUGCGUGGUUCCCGGGGCCAUGUUCACAAGCGGACACGGACGCGCACACACACGCACACACAGCCGCACCAGAAACCCGGCGCUCAGCCACACAGCCCCAUGCAAAGACGACACACACACACACACACACACAGAGCUUCAUUUGCCCCCUCCCACCAAGAUGCUAAUAAAGCUCAAACACAUAUACAGAGACUUGCACCUCCCCCCAGC